rnacentral:rRNA from 1 species
GUUGGUGCUUUGGGGGUGGGGGUCUACCUGUUCCCAUUCCGAACACAGCAGUCAAGCCCACUACCACCGAUGGUACUUCUUUUGAGGGAGAGUAGGUAGGCGCCAACU